AACGAACGCUGGCGGCAGGCUUAACACAUGCAAGUCGAACGCCCCGCAAGGGGAGUGGCAGUCGGGUGAUUAACGCGUGGGAACAUACCCUUUUCUACUGAAUAGCCUUGGGAAACUGGAAAUAAUUCCGUAUACGCCCUAAGGGGGGAAGAUUUAUCGGGGCAGGAUGGGCCCGCGUUGGAUUAGCUAGUUGGUGGGGUAAAGGCCUACCAAGGCGACGAUCCAUAGCUGGUCUGAGAGGAUGAACAGCCACAUUGGGACUGAGACACGGCCCAAACUCCUACGGGAGGCAGCAGUGGGGAAUAUUGGACAAUGGGGGAAACCCUGAUCCAGCCAUGCCGCGUGAGUGAUGAAGGCCUUAGGGUUGUAAAGCUCUUUCACCAAUGAAGAUAAUGACGGUAGUCGGGGAAGAAGCCCCGGCUAACUUCGUGCCAGCAGCCGCCGUAACAC
rnacentral:rRNA from 1 species